CUGCCAUUUUGGUCUUCCAGCCAUUCUCAAGACUAGAAGUGUACAGCUUUGCGCAAGGGCAACUUCUCUGCAUGGCAGAGGUGAGGGGAAAUGAAAAUGAUGCUGGGACUAAGUGUCGCCUCUCUGAGAAGUGUCGCAGUCGCAGUCAUGUGGCAUAAAGCUGAAUGAAGAGCUCGCAGGACAAGAGGGUCCCAGAGAACAGUCUGUGAAAGGAUGUCUUGCAGGAGGCGCGGAGAGGCCCAGGCUGGCCGCAUCUCUGAGGCCUGCUCUGCCCCUUGACUGCGUGGUUAUGGACUGCUUUAGUUCACCUGCCAGGACCUGUGGAGACCUCCUCCUCCAGCAGAGCCUGACUUUGUUGGACUUGGCCUUUGAACACGAGGAACCUGUUAACCUUAACCUGCAAGUCGGCUUAGCUUCUUCUGCCGGUUUUUCCUAAUUAAACCUGCCCUAUCCCCCUGCCCCUUCCUUCCUCCUUUCCUCUCUCCCUCUUUCCCUUCCACCCUUUCCUCCUCGGACCUUGACUGUGCACGUUCUGUGGGCAUCACAGUGUUGGAGGUUUUAGUGCAGUCUGUCAUGACUUACAACUCAUAUCAAAGUUCCGAACCAACUGGCUAAACUCAGGUCACAUGCCUGCCUCCCAGCUGGGGUGGGGGACAUAGUUAUUGUAAGGGGCAUGCAUGAGGGGUCUUGUGAAGGACUCUAGAUGAGUAAUAUAUCCUUCACAUAUGUUUUCCAAAUGUGUGUAGAUCCUUUGGCGAUUAAUAAAACAUUAUGUGUGGAUACUAUUAGG